UUGGUGAGGGCCCGAUCCAUUUUUUGUGAGCCUCCUGGGAAGGCAGAUAUCUGUUUUUGCUCUGGGGUGCCAAAAGAUCAAUUUUCUAUCGGCACAUGGGGGAGGUGGGCUUUUCAGGCUCCCCUUCCCAUCAAUUUAAGCAUUCAUGCUGUUUUACUCUAGAGGAGAGGUGCUCAGCUGCAGACAAGUGUGAGCUUUAAGGAGGCUUCUUACCUGUUUCUACUCUAGAGGAGAGGUGCUUGGCUGCAGACAGGAACACACGCUUUCUGGGCCUGUACGCCACACACACACACACACUUUCCAAGGCAUGGAUGUAAGUUCUCAGUCUUACUCUAGGUGCUUGGCUGCAGGCAGGCACUCUUGCUUUCUGGGCUUAAACACUACACACACACACUCUUUCCAAGGCAAGGAGGCAAAUACUCAUUCUUAGUCUAGAGGAGGCACUUGGCUGCAGGCAGGCAUGCACACUUUCUGGGCCUGCACACUACACACACACACACACUUUCCAAGGCAAGGAGGCAAAUACUCAUUCUUAGUCUAGAGGAGGCACUUGGCUGCAGGCAGGCAUGCACACUUUCUGGGCCUGCACACUACACACACACACACACACACACUUUCCAAGGCAAGGAUGUAAGUUCUCAGCUUACUCUAGGCGCUAGGCUGCAGGCAGGCACUCUUGCUUUCUGGGCUUAAACACUACACACACACACUCUUUCCAAGGCAAGGAGGCAAGUUCACAUUCUUACUCUAGAGGAGGUGCUCAGCUGCCAGCAGGCAUGCACACUUUCUGGGCCUGCACACUACACACACACUUUCCAAGGCAAGGAUGUAAGUUCUCAGCUUACUCUAGGCGCUUGGCUGCAGGCAGGCACUCUUGCUUUCUGGGCUUAAACACCACACACACACUCUCUUUCCAAGGCAAGGAGGCAAAUAUUCAUUCUUAUUCUAGAGGAGGCACUUGGCUGCAGGCAGGCAUGCACACUUUCUGGGCCUGCACACACACACUUUCCAAGGCAAGGAGGCAUGGAGCGCCACAUGCUCACGAAAAGCAAGUAAGGAGUUUUCAUGUCAAGCUGUACCGGGAGGGGCCUUUCUGUUAUGUGCUCCUGAAGGUAAUGAAAGUAAUGAAAGAAUGGAUGAAGUGAAGGGAAACUGUUUUAUGCACAACUCUAGUAUUAAUAUGAUUCUGUCAUAUAUUAGUUGUACACAGGACACAGAAACAUAGAGUCACAGAGUCAGAAGAAACCAUCCAGUCCUCCCUGCAAUGCAGAAGCACACAGUCAAAACAUUUCCAACAGACUUGGCUGAAUUCAUGAUAAUUUUUGUAGGAUCAUUUUGGAUACUGAUCUCAAUGGUGAUUGACAUAAUAGUAGAACUAAUUUUUACUCUUGGAAUGAAUAGAUAGAAUAUGCUAGGCACUGGCAAACUUCAGCCCUCCAGGUGUUUUGGAUCUCCCACAUUUCCUAACAGCCAGUAAGCUGAGUUGAAAUCCAAAACACCUGGAGGUGCUGAAGUUUGUCCCUGCCUAGGAUAUGCUGUCCUGAGACUUCCUCCACUACUUCAGAACUCAAACAAGUGCCAGAACUGGCAGCCAGUUUGGACUGUGAACACUCAGGCUGUAGAAACCUGGCCAGGUGGCAGAAGCUGGAGACAGAAGAAAAGGGAGUUGCGGAGCCUGAAGGCUGGCGGUCUUGACCUAGAUUCAAAAUAUCUUCAAAGUAUAAAGAAGCUGACCUGCUGUGAUUGUAUCAGCUGGUAUGAACAAGAGAAGAAGCCCAGCAAGAACAGAAACGUGUUUAAAUUAGAAGUACUGCACCGCCACUGGUACAUUCAGUUCUGCAAACAGAGUGAAAUAUGUAGCUCCACGCUGACAUUGGCCAUGGGGAAGACCCAUAUACAGGUAACGUCGGUUUAGGGCUUGUCUACACCAGAUCAAAACUGGACUCACUUUGAAUGGAGCAGUAGCUGUCUCCUCAAUGCACAAUGACUUUCCCAUGGUGCAUAGUGGUCCAGCUUGGCCUGAUCUACUUUGAAAUUAGACAUGGACAUCAUCCCUAUUUAUUUUAUUUAUUUAUUUACAGUAUUUAUAUUCCAUCCUUCUCAUCCCGAAGGGGACUCAGGGCAGAUUACAAUGAACAUAUAUAUGGCAAACAUUCAAUGCCAUCAGACAAACAACAUACAGUAUAGACACACACAGAGGCAAUUUAACAUUUCAAGCUUCAUGAGGGUAUGCUUGAUUGAUUUAUUUACAGUAUUUAUAUUCCACCCUUCUCAUCCCGAAGGGGACUCAGGGCGGAUUACAAUGAACAUAUAUAUGGCAAACAUUCAA